rnacentral:snRNA from 1 species
AUCAUUUCUCAGCCUUUUGGCUAAGAUCAAGUGUGGUAUCAGUUCUUAUUAGUUUAAAAAAUUAUUUUUACUUAUGGCUUAUAUCAUAAUCUUAGGCACCUAGCUAAUGAUUAAACACACA